rnacentral:rRNA from 1 species
CCUACGGGAGGCAGCAGUGAGGAAUAUUGGUCAAUGGGCGCGAGCCUGAACCAGCCAAGUCGCGUGAGGGAAGACGGUCCUAUGGAUUGUAAACCUCUUUUGUCGGGGAGCAAAAGACGCCACGCGUGGCGUUCCGAGAGUACCCUAAGAAAAAGCAUCGGCUAACUCCGUGCCAGCAGCCGCGGUAAUACGGAGGAUGCGAGCGUUAGCCGGAUUUAUUGGGUUAAAAGGGUGCGCAGGGGGAAGAUAAAGUCAGAGGUAAAAUUGAGAGGCUCAACCUCUUCGAGCCGUUGAAACUGGUUGUCUUGAGUGAGCGAGAAGUAUGCGGAAUGCGUGGUGUAGCGGUGAAAUGCAUAGAUAUCACGCAGAACUCCGAUUGCGAAGGCAGCAUACCGGCGCUCAACUGACGCUCAUGCACGAAAGUGUGGGUAUCGAACAGGAUUAGAUACCCUUGUAGUC